CUCAGCCUCCCAAAGUACUGGGAUUAGAGGCAUGAACCCAUGCCCGGCCAGAAAUGUUUUUUUUAAGAAGGCUGUCUACUAGUGGAGUUCCUGGCCUGAGAGGAUAUUACUUUCCAAGGAAAGGAUUUCUUUCAUUAUUUAAGGAGCCACUUAAGCUAAAGAUUCCCUUGAGAACAAGUACUGUCCUGUGGUUUCAUGGCCUUUCUUCCAUUUGUGGUUCUUGCCAAGUGGAAUUUCAAUGACAUCUUAUCAAGAUGGAUAAACCCAAGUUUCCCAGUGCUGGAAUAGAGAAAAUGGAUGGACAAUAAGUCCCACUCAGCACCCAUAGCCCAGGCAUGGGGACCUCAACACACCUGAGCCCCAGACGUCACCUUUCAUUCUGGAUCUACCAUGAAAGACUUCUGAAUCCAGGAAGAGAGACUGACUGGGCAACAUGUUAUCCAGAAAUAGGACCUUGCGUUGUCACUCAGGAUGGAGUUCAGU